rnacentral:rRNA from 1 species
UGCAGUCGAACGAUGAUAGCCCAGCAUUGCUGGGCGGAUUAGUGGCGAACGGGUGAGUAAUACGUGAGUAACCUGCCCUUGACUCUGGGAUAAGCCUGGGAAACUGGGUCUAAUACUGGAUACUACCUCUUACCGCAUGGUGGGUGGUGGAAAGGGUUUUACUGGUUUUGGAUGGGCUCACGGCCUAUCAGCUUGUUGGUGGGGUAAUGGCUCACCAAGGCGACGACGGGUAGCCGGCCUGAGAGGGUGACCGGCCACACUGGGACUGAGACACGGCCCAGACUCCUACGGGAGGCAGCAGUGGGGAAUAUUGCACAAUGGGCGGAAGCCUGAUGCAGCGACGCCGCGUGAGGGAUGACGGCCUUCGGGUUGUAAACCUCUUUCAGUAGGGAAGAAGCGAGAGUGACGGUACCUGCAGAAGAAGCGCCGGCUAACUACGUGCCAGCAGCCGCGGUAAUACGUAGGGCGCAAGCGUUGUCCGGAAUUAUUGGGCGUAAAGAGCUCGUAGGCGGUUUGUCGCGUCUGCUGUGAAAGCCCGGGGCUCAACCCCGGGUCUGCAGUGGGUACGGGCAGACUAGAGUGCAGUAGGGGAGACUGGAAUUCCUGGUGUAGCGGUGAAAUGCGCAGAUAUCAGGAGGAACACCGAUGGCGAAGGCAGGUCUCUGGGCUGUUACUGACGCUGAGGAGCGAAAGCAUGGGGAGCGAACAGGAUUAGAUACCCUGGUAGUCCAUGCCGUAAACGUUGGGCACUAGGUGUG